AUGGCCAUGAGAGCACACCAAACCGCAGCUCCCCUCCUCCCUCAAGCUUCCCCUCACCAUGAGAGCUUCCCUCUCACUCUCUUCUCCCCUAAUCUUUCAUGAGUCCAGCUCACUUUCUCCUUUCCCCUCUCACUAGAUUGGAUCUUAAUGCAGGUGCAUGUUGGUCCAAGCAUGGAGAAGGUUGAGCUAUCCUCAGAUCUGAAGUUCUUGAGCAAAGUUCGUCCAAAACCUUGCAGUAAUUUCUGUAUCUUGCUGUUUCAGAUUCUGGUACGAACUUGUAAAAUCCGCCAAAUCUUGUGUGCAGAUCCAAAUCGAGUGAUUCAAAGUUCCACAGAUAGAUCAAGAUCUGGUCAGAUCUGACUUUGUCGAAUUAAACCAGGAGCUUGGAAACGAAUUUUUCAAUGAAACCAACUGGGGGAUAAUUGGUUUAUACCAUGGUGAUAACCGAGAGAGGCAAUUGCUAAGUCAUGGCACUCUCAUACCUUCACUAG